CCACCUUGAAACCCCUCUCCUUUCUCAGAUUCUCUUGAAUCUUCCUCAACCCUAGCCACCUCUAAUCGCUCCCACCUCAAAAUCUACCAGAAACCAUGGCUUCUCCGGCCAUGAGAGCCUUAUACUCGCCUCCUGUUACUCCUAUGUGCUCGAUACUUGAAGGUUCGAGGCUAGACCUCGAAGUUCUUCAUAGUGACCUUUGCCGGCUUGAAGUUUCAUGGCCAUCGCAGCCUUGCUCCGGCAUAUUCUGGUCUUCUGAGCCUGAUUCUUGCUUCUCUGACUCCGAUUGGUGACCUUUUUAAAGGCCUUCUCAUUUUAGGAUUCUUCUUAAACCCCUCGAGGUUUUCCUUCGAUCUUUCUAGAUUUGUAGUGUAUCUAUGCUCUAUUUUGAGUUUUCAAACGCUUUUCCUGGCUUUGCUUUAAAAAAAAAAACUAACUUUCAAAAAACCGAAUCUUUUCGAUCUAGGGUUUCUGAAAUGUUCAAUUGUUUCUAUGAUUUUUUCUUUGUCUUUUAUGUGCAUUUUUCUCUAUUAUGUUCUUAUAGCAUGUUAUUAUAUACUUCUCUUGCUAUGUUUUCCUAUAUUGUGGUCUCUUAAGACUAUACUGUGCUCUUGUGUCCCCCUGUUGUGUUUUUUAUAUCAUAUUCUUCUACUAUAUUAUUGUAUUUUCUUUCUAUCAUGCUCUUAUAUGCUUUUUCGGUGUUCUUGUAUUCUUCUACUAUAUUUUUACCUAGUUCUUAAGGCUUUUUGUUUGCAUUCUACUGAAUCUUGUUUGAGUUCUUCUAAGAAGACCUCUUUAAGAAUGUUUCUUCUAUUUUAUUCUUAAGUAUUUUACUAUUUUUC
rnacentral:lncRNA from 1 species